UUUAAAGAGAGUUUGAUCCUGGCUCAGGACGAACGCUGGCGGCGUGCCUAAUACAUGCAAGUCGAACGAACGGAGGAAGAGCUUGCUCUUCCAAAGUUAGUGGCGGACGGGUGAGUAACACGUGGGCAACCUGCCUGUAAGUUGGGGAUAACUCCGGGAAACCGGGGCUAAUACCGAAUGA
rnacentral:rRNA from 1 species